UGAACGCUGGCGGCGUGCUUAACACAUGCAAGUCGAACGAGGUCCAUGGAGCUUGCUCCGGAAGACCUAGUGGCGAACGGGUGCGUAACACGUGAGAAACCUGCCCCGAUCUCUGGGAUAACAGUUGGAAACGACUGCUAAUACCGGAUGCCAUCACACCGCUUCAUGGCGAAGUGAUGAAAGAUUUAUCGGAUCGGGAGGGUCUCGCGGCCUAUCAGCUAGUUGGAGAGGUAACGGCUCACCAAGGCAUCGACGGGUAGCUGGUCUGAGAGGAUGAUCAGCCACACUGGGACUGAGACACGGCCCAGACUCCUACGGGAGGCAGCAGUGGGGAAUCUUGCACAAUGGGCGAAAGCCUGAUGCAGCAACGCCGCGUGCGGGAAGAAGGCCCUAGGGUUGUAAACCGCUUUCAGUAGGGAAGAAAAUGACGGUACCUACAGAAGAAGGUGCGGCCAACUAC
rnacentral:rRNA from 1 species